ensembl:lncRNA
AGACACCUGUAAAACUGCUUCCCUUUCUUUGUGUCUCUGUGUGUGGUUCCAUGGAGUAUGACUAUAAAGAAUGACUCAUUAAUUAAGUCAUUCAGCAGGUAUAUGGUGGACCUGCUCAUCUGAGCCAGGGAAACUCAAAUCACCCACUGGGGCUCAAAGAUGUCAAUCAUCACCUCACUUUCUGUCAACAAUGAGCCAAGCUCAUCACUCAGACUGGAAAAGAAUAAGGAGGAGGGUUUAAGUGGGUGAGAAAUGUAUUUAAGUUUGGGGUGUUUUCACUUAGAGGACAAGAUUUUAACUAACCAGGUCCCAGAUGUGGGAUUGAUGACCCGAGAAGACAUACAGGACGCCAAAGGAAAGGAUCCCUGGGGAAGUGCCUCAACAUUUACAUCUAUCUGUCUAAACUGGACCAUGAGCUUCUCAGCACCUUGAUGUUCAGAGUACAAGAGGGAACCUAAGUAUGACCAGAGUGAAAGCAUAUUCAGAAACGUCUAUAAAUGUCAGGUAAGUUGAUGAGACUGGCCCUCAGAGGCCUAUUUACAUGGCUCUGUGAGUCUCCUGGGGAAGAAGGCAAGCUUUCUGCCUUUGGGAUGAGACACAGCUGAGCACGUCUGGGGUACAGCCCCCGUCAGGAGCUGCUAUGCCUCUGGGCAGUUUGGUGGCGGCACGGUGGAUCUGCACGGAGUUGAUCAGAGAGAAGGAUGAUGCGGCAAAUGUUGAUCACAAUUUUGUUUUGUUCAGGUUUCCUAGUCAACAUCUGAAUCCUAGGACACAGAACCUGUAAAAAUGCAAAAAACAGUUUUCCAGUAAUUCAGUGAGUCAUAUUUUCAAUGACUCAUUUGGAGUUAGGCAUGCCUACUUGGAGAUACCUUAAACAACAUGCAAUGAGAAGAUUGAAUGCAUUCUCUGUUCUCCAAAUGCCCCUUCUCGUUUCCCCCACGGGACAGCCCUGGUACCAUUAGAACUCAGAGAGUUAGUGGUGGGGCUGGUGGAGCUCUGGGAGCCCGACAGACAUAGAGGAUCAGCAGUGACUGGUCUACAAAGGUGCAGCCAAUUGAAGAAGUAACAGAAGGGUCCAUGGUGCACAGAAUACAGGGAGCAGCCACUUCUCUGAGCAGGAAUGAGGGCCUCUGUGUCCAGCUGCAUGUGAGAGACAAAUCUCCAAACUACAACUGUGUGUAAGCUUUAAAUUAUUUUAUCACUUUUUUGGGCAUGAAGAUACUCAUUGAAUGAUAUUGAGAAAUUAUUGCAACUCAUAAUUUAAAAAAUUUCUUAUGGGGCCAUGUUUAUCAACAUCGUAUACCCUUGACGUUCAUUUAUUUUUGUGAUUGAUAAAACAAUUGGAAAUUCUGAAAGGCAAAGGUUAGAUAUUCAUAUUCCCGAAGUUGAAAGCUAAAAAUGAAAUGAAGUGUUGUUAAUUUGGAGUUGAGGU